GACAUGAAGAAGUAUUAAGGAAAUGUAAAGACGAAGCAGGCACAACUUUAAAAUCUCCAUGCUAAAUUUGAGACUUUGCAUAUAAAAUCUGGUGAGUAAGUUUCUGACUACUUGUUAAGAAUGAUGGUAAUCGCUAAUAAGAUGCAGAUUCAUGGGGAUAGGCUUUAAGAUACUUCUAUUAUGGAAAAGAUUCUUUGAUCCAUGC
rnacentral:lncRNA from 1 species